ensembl:miRNA
UAUUAGGUUGGUGCAAAAGUAAUUGCAGUCUUUGCCAUUACUUUUAAUAGGAAAAUCUACAAUAAAUUUUGCACCAACCUAAUAU